CGGACGGGUGAGUAACGUGUAAAGAACUUACCAUAUAGACUGGGAUAACAGAGGGAAACUUCUGAUAAUACUGGAUAAGUUAGUAGUAGCAUUACUAAGUAAUGAAAGGUAGCAAUACGCUAUAUGAGAGCUUUGCAUCCUAUUAGCUAGUUGGUAAGGUAAGAGCUUACCAAGGCGAUGAUAGGUAGCCGGCCUGAGAGGGUGGACGGCCACAAGGGGACUGAGAUACGGCCCUUACUCCUACGGGAGGCAGCAGCA
rnacentral:rRNA from 1 species